rnacentral:rRNA from 1 species
CCUAGGGGAGGCAGCAGUGGGGAAUAUUGCACAAUGGGGGAAACCCUGAUGCAGCAACGCCGCGUGAGUGAUGACGGCCUUCGGGUUGUAAAACUCUGUCUUUGGGGACGAUAAUGACGGUACCCAAGGAGGAAGCCACGGCUAACUACGUGCCAGCAGCCGCGGUAAUAGUAU